AUCCUGCUUGGGAUUCUGUGUCUCCCUCUAUCUCUGCCUCUCCCCUGCUUGUGCUCUCAUUGAUACAAUGUUGACACAAUGUUUAAUGAUAUGAUAAAUCCCUAAUUCUCUCAGCCAAACACAAAUCCAUGUGGUUUUGUUUUGGAGCUUUGUCUAUCUCAAAGGUGAUACUUACCAAAUGGAAGAGUGUGGACGUGGAAGUAUAAAAGUUCAAGACUCAAGCCUUCGUUCUCACUUAGAUGGCCACUUCUUGUAGUAUCUUGGAUUAAUGACUUAAAUUCUCAGAACUUUACUUUUCGAUUAGUUUAAGAAAGUGGGAGUAAUAAUUCCAAUUUUAUGCAGUUGUGUUUGGAGGACUGCACAUGCAAGGGCACUCACUGGUCUUGACACAUCAACAAAAGCUAGAACAUGAAGAACUGAUGAAGCAAAAUAAAUCAAACUGGGUUUUUGUAUUUAGGUGACACAAAAGGAAAUUAGUGUAAUUAGGACACCUGGCAGAAACUCUCACCACAUCCUCUAAGAUGGAAAGUAGUGUGCUGCUUGUUAGACUCCAAAACUCACUAGUUGAUGCAGGACGGUGUAGCUGAAAUGAUCUUUACAUAAAUAAAGUUAACUUUAAGUCCUGUCUGACGAUGUGUUGGGGACCACCUCAUCUGGGACAGGAGCUUUUUGUCACUCUCAGGCCCUCACAAGCAACAACAUAUUUAAAUGAUGAAUUAUAUCGAGGUAUAUUCCAAGUCCUCGACCAUCAUACUUAGACUUUCAGGGUGCUGUAGACUGAUGGUCAAUUUCCUGAGGUGUCCGGGAGUGGAGAAGGGGGUGGGAGCUCAUGUUCCCAUACAUUUAAUCUACUUGCCUUGGGACUUUUCCAGCAUCGUGAAAUGAUGUGAGAUGUGAAAAGUGCAUGCCUGCCUGGCCUAAGACAACUGCUUUUACUCUUCAAAAAAGAAAAUCUAUCACGUAGAGGGGCCAGACCCUGAUUGACCAGUGUAAUUUGCAGAGGUUGGAGUUUAUUUUGCCAAAUUAUUUGUUACAUUUCCUGAUACAUAGUGAUAGUUUUGGAGUAAAUGCUUUUUCUAAAAGGUAACCAUUAUUCAUGAACACUGUACCACUCAACUAAAGGGCAUACAGUGGGUAAGUAUAUUUAAUUUCCUUAUACUGAGCAUUCAAAGUUUUCCCUUACACAGAAGCUGUGGGAAAGAGUAAGCACACACUUGGAAACUCUUUCUGCUUACAGAUGUGUAAAGAAACCAUUUUUUACAGUAGAGUUUCACUUAAGCACAGUUGGAGAGAAUCUCAACCAGAUGUGUUAAAAGUCACUUUAAUCUUCCAAGAUGUGGGUAUUUCAGAUUUCCCCACGCCCAUGUAUGUAUUUCAGUAACAGUAGUCUGAAAAUCAUCUAGCCAGAAAAGAAUGUUACUUGGUACUGUUCAGUUUGGAGGGGAAGAAUGUUUUCUUUGGGAGAACAAUAAAAAAAGAAAAUGAUCAGAAAAAAAAAAUAAUAAUGGGAAAGUGGGUAUCCUCGGUUGUCUGCUGUAGAGUCUAGGAGGAAUCUGUUCAAUUAAGGUAACACCCCUGGGAGAGGUAUCCAGAAGUAGAAGUGAAAUCAUCAAAGUGAUCUGAGAAAUACAGAAAAAUGUAUAGGAUGGUUUUGGAAGCCAUAAAGAACUGAAUCCCUGCUGUGAAAACAGCAGUGAAGAGUCUAGAUUUUAUUCAGUUCUGCUGUCUUGAAGAUGGGUUAGACCAGUGGACUGAUGAAUACUGUGUUGUUUUGUUUGUUUGUGUUUGUUUUUUGAGUUGAGUUAUAAGUUAACAUGACUUACAGUUCCUCCCAUUAAAGUGAAUUGUGAGGUAGUUUUUAAGUGCAUUAACAAAGCUGUGCAACCACUGCCCAGAAAGCAACACAGGGCGUUGAAUGUUUAGCUUUUAGAUGACGUAUAUUUCACAUGCUGUUCAGUUUACCCUUCAAAGUGUAAGAUUCAGAGGGUUUUCGUACAUUGCAAACGUUGUGUAACCACCACCAAUCUAGAACAAAGAAAUUAGGUUAUUUAGUAGAAAGGAUCAUAUAUUCUGCUUGUUCUUGGGUUUUAUUAAACAGUUUGAGGAUGAGUGAACAUAGUUUUUAAUGGAUAGGUUGUUUGUACUGCAAAGUGUUCUGUUGCAUAGCUACCACUGGUAAAUUAAUAGGAGGAAUGUGAUCAUUUUAGUAAUUUCAGUUCCAUCCUUGUUUCUCUAGAAAAUAUAAAAAAAGGAAUUUUUACAUUUCUGCAGUAAGUGGAAGUCCGGAACUGAAAUUGUCUGUCACCUGAUUUCCUCCUUCUCAGGAUCACGGAUGGCGUUGCACGGGAAGUGGAGAGGUAUUUUUCCUUCACAGCGGUUUGUCUGAGUAAAGUGGGCUGCUUUGGAUUCAACUUUAUCUGCUUUCGCCCUGAGAGAAGGGCUGGUCGUAUUUCAACAUUAUGAGUCCAUAGUUGUUGGGUGGAAAUAUUUUUGUGCAGCCCCGUGAAAUUCCAUUUUGGCGGCUGGGGUUAGAGAACGGCUGGGUGUUGCCUCUCAGCUGGAGGUCAUACUGCCCCACGCUGACGGUUAGCACCCAAGUUCUUAGGCAUUGGAUUAGUGGUGUUUGACACGUGAGUUCAUUCUUGAGUGCCUCGCCCAAUGUUGCCAAUAAAGUAGGAUUAGGUCCUGUCGACCUAUUUAAAACGUGUUCUAGGGCUGUGAAAGCAAUGACAGCCUUCUCUGCAGACGCUAAGGUAUGAGUCAUGCACGUCUCCUCUGUACUUUUCUGGCAGGAGGAAUGAUUGAACGAUGCUUUGUUCUCGGAAUCUGGUAAUACCGCGUUCGACCACCUGACACGUUAAAUGCAUUAUGUUUAAUGGCAAUAUAAUGCCCAUCAUUGUCUUUUCAGCCCAAAGCCCAAAGAAGCACUUGAAGCAUUGGACGCGCUACAAACCAAUGACUCUCUUUGGGAUGCAUCACCUCACAUCUAAGCUGGAGGGGACAGUAUUUGAACUCAGCACUUUCUUGUACCACAGAGAGCUCAAGCUUAAGUUACCUUUGCUUAACGUGCCCUUCUUUACCCACUUCCUGUGCAUACCAGAAGCAAUGCUAGUCGCAAGCAGGUAAACCUCACUCACUCCUUCCAGCCUAAAGAGAAAGGGGGGAGUGGAAGACUUAUAGAGGGAAUGUGGGAACUGAUAAAAAGAGUAGCUCCUGGAGUCCAUUUAGUGUGCACCAUUAGGAGGUUUUCUAGUUUGGCUCUUGUUCCCCGUUCAUACUUUACAUUUACCCAAAAUGUUGUCCUGAGACUCCUAUGAGGUUUACAGUAACUUUUAAAUUUCGAUAAGCUGAUUAAAGUAGCAAGUUUGGAAGGGGAACCCACUUAGUCACUUUUAUUUUUUUUUUAUUUUUAUUUAUUUAUUUUUAUUCACUUUAUCAUUUUUAAGAGGUGGUAGAUACUCUGUGGGGAACCCGAGUUACAUGCAAUGGGUGUUGUUCUACACAAAUGUAUUAUAUUUAUUUGAACUAGCAUUUAUUUGAACUAGCAUAGUAUACCAUUUGAAACCC